CGGGCUGCGCGCACCCGCGCUGGCGCUCGGGCUGACGGACGGACUGACGGCCCCGCAGGCUGACGGCAGCGGGCGAGCCAUGAAGUUGUGGCUCCCGAGUUGUGUCGCAUCCCGUGGCGUUGCAGAACGGGGCCGAGCGUGGAGCAGCGGCACGGUGUAUGUGCGGGCAAAGUUGGGGACGACGUCUGGUUUACUCUUGUGGGGUUGUCUUGUGUCCUGGGGCGCGUUCUGAUGCUCGGCUCUCCCCUAGAUCAGCAUGUGCAGCACUGGAGAUCAACACCGGCUUUAAUAAACCGUGUAAUGGAGGCGGUUCUGGAUCUCUCAAAGGUCUCAGAGGAUCUGCGGUAGGGAGCGUUGUCUGGUGGUGGAUGUGGACUUUAAAACAGUGUGUCUCAACAUCUCAUCCUCAACUAUCAAUUUUUAAUCUGAUUGCACUACAAAAGAAAAGCUGCUAAUGGGAUAAAUGUUGAGACUUUACAAGAACUGACUUGAAGUACCGAAAGCCAUUAUUAUUAAUCAGGAAGAGCUUGAAGCUAAGUCUGUGUCUAACCAGCCAGC
rnacentral:lncRNA from 1 species